CUGCUGCCUUCCGUAGGAGUCUGGUCCGUGUCUCAGUACCAGUGUGGGGGACCUUCCUCUCAGAACCCCUACGCAUCGUCGCCUUGGUGGGCCGUUACCCCGCCAACUAGCUAAUGCGCCGCAUGCCCAUCCUCCGCCGGAAUCGCUUCCUUUUAACACCCGUGGGAUGCCCCCACAGAUGUACCCACGCGGUAUUAGUCCGGAUUUCUCCGGGUUAUCCCCCUGCGGAGGGCAGGUUGCAUACGUGUUACUCACCCGUGCGCCGGUCGCCGG
rnacentral:rRNA from 1 species